rnacentral:rRNA from 1 species
UACGUAGGGUGCGAGCGUUAAUCGGAAUUACUGGGCGUAAAGCGUGCGCAGGCGGUUUGGUAAGUCAGAUGUGAAAUCCCCGGGCUCAACCUGGGAACUGCAUUUGAGACUGCCCAACUGGAGUUUGGCAGAGGGGGGUGGAAUUCCACGUGUAGCAGUGAAAUGCGUAGAGAUGUGGAGGAACACCGAUGGCGAAGGCAGCCCCCUGGGCCAAUACUGACGCUCAUGCACGAAAGCGUGGGGAGCAAACAGG